AUUGAACGCUGGCGGAAUGCUUUACACAUGCAAGUCGAACGGCAGCACGGGGGCAACCCUGGUGGCGAGUGGCGAACGGGUGAGUAAUACAUCGGAACGUGCCCAGUCGUGGGGGAUAACGCGGCGAAAGCUGUGCUAAUACCGCAUACGAUCUAUGAAUGAAAGCGGGGGACCGUAAGGCCUCGCGCGAUUGGAGCGGCCGAUGGCAGAUUAGGUAGUUGGUGGGGUAAAGGCUCACCAAGCCGGCGAUCUGUAGCUGGUCUGAGAGGACGACCAGCCACACUGGGACUGAGACACGGCCCAGACUCCUACGGGAGGCAGUAGUGGGGAAUUUUGGACAAUGGGCGCAAGCCUGAUCCAGCCAUUCCGCGUGCAGGAUGAAGGCCCUCGGGUUGUAAACUGCUUUUGUACGGAACGAAAAGCCUUCUUCUAAUACAGGAGGGUCAUGACGGUACCGUAAGAAUAAGCACCGGCUAACUACGUGCCAGCAGCCGCCGUAA
rnacentral:rRNA from 1 species